rnacentral:rRNA from 1 species
UACGGAGGGAGCUAGCGUUGUUCGGAAUUACUGGGCGUAAAGCGCACGUAGGCGGCUUUGUAAGUUAGAGGUGAAAGCCUGGAGCUCAACUCCAGAACUGCCUUUAAAACUGCAUCGCUUGAAUCCAGGAGAGGUGAGUGGAAUUCCGAGUGUAGAGGUGAAAUUCGUAGAUAUUCGGAAGAACACCAGUGGCGAAGGCGGCUCACUGGACUGGUAUUGACGCUGAGGUGCGAAAGCGUGGGGAGCAAACGGG